AUUCCAGCUCCAAUAGCGUAUAUUAAUGUUGUUGCAGUUAAAAAGCUCGUAGUCGGAUUUUUGUGUCAUGUCGAACUGUCUGCCGAUUGGUUUGUACGGUUUGACGGGCAUAUUCCUUCCAGAGGCUCCGUGAGGCCUUCAUUGGUUUCGCGGUUGAAUCUGGGUCUUUUACUUUGAAAAAAUUAGAGUGUUCAAAGCAGGCCUAUGCUCGAAUAGGUUAGCAUGGAAUAAUAGAAUAGGACUUCGGUCUUAUUUUGUUGGUUUCUAGGACCGAAGUAAUGAUUAACAGGGACAGUUGGGGGCAUUCAUAUUCCAUUGUCAGAGGUGAAAUUCUUGGAUUAACGGAAGAUGAACUUCUGCGAAAGCAUCUGCCAAGGAUGUUUUCAUUG
rnacentral:rRNA from 1 species